rnacentral:lncRNA from 1 species
GUGGUUUCUCAGUCCUGGAUUUUCUUUGGGGAGGAGGGAGGAUGGCCGUUCUGUCUACAUCACACUCUUUCAAAGAUCGUUUAAAAAGGAAUCGGCUCCGAAGAUGCUGAGAAUUCUGAAGAAAAUGCUGCAUGACGUCACCCUACAGCUGAAGUGCCCGGCUGUUGGCGACGUUGGGAGCUGCAGGCAGCGCCGCCUGCCUUGGUGGACAGACAACUGCCAUCAGCGAAAGGUGACGGAGAAAACGAGCGAUCAGGUUUCAGCUGACACGUGAUCCCAGUCGGCAUUCGUGCUUUUAAAUUAGCGAAGAGCGAUGAGGAGCCGGAGGAUAAUGAUGAUUAUUAUUGACAUCACACUGACCUACGUAGUGCAGAAAUGGGAACUAUCGGCGGACAAUGAUAUAAACCAGACUCAAGUGCUCCACAUGACAAAAAUGUUUGCCGAGGUAGGGAAGGUGGGAUUGCGGGGACGAGUGCAAGAAAAGAAAAGAUAAAGCUAACUGAGGAAGACGGGUAGUAAUAGAGAAGCUGCUUGUAAAACCUGUGGACGGUAAGACAUCGCCGCACGGCGCAGCUGAGCUCUAAUGAGCUGAAGCCACGGAGACAACCAGGGACCCAGCAACCAGGGGGGAUCAUAUCCUCCCACUGACUGCUAGCACUCGACACCCACCUCUCUCAUUUCCUCCAGCCCAUUGUCAGUGGAAUGAGCGAGACGGAGGGAUAGAGAGAGAGAAGGAGGGAGAAACACGAGUGCAGCUCCCCCAUCGAGGCUCGCUACCCGGGCGACAAGGUCCAGUGGUGAGCGCCCCUUGCCGGUGGCAGUCAAUGGAGCGUAAAACUGGGCGCCGAGGCGGUGUGGAUCCUGCUCCUCCUGCGACCAGGGGGAAGCCUCAUCGGCGAUGACGUUAAUGGAGAGGAGACGCCGUUUGUCGUGGAUCCUGGUGUGAGUGUCAACGGCCGAGCUGCAAAUCAUCCGCCACGUCACAGACGCACGUUGCAGACGACCGAAGGCUGACUGACAACUCGUUCAUGAAGUCGAUAAUGGAGCCUCGUUCUGGCUGUUCCAGCUGCGAUUUAUAAAUAGCUUGUUUUCACAGACUUUUGGCUAAUGGCAGACUCUUCUGUGCUCACAAUUUCUUUAAAAUGUUCCCAGAGAGAAUAUUCAUUCUGACAUAAGCUUCAUUUCCUGUAAUAUUCCUGAAGCAAAGAAGAUAUAAAGAGUUAGUAGGUAGUUUUAAUGGUGUCGGUCUAAACUGUGACUAUAGACAACCCUCGUGUUCAAAGCUUUAAAAAAAAAAAUAGAAAGAUACACAAAAGUAAAGAUGAACAAUAUAUAUGCUGCCUUUAGUUCCCUGUCAUAAAAUUCUAGCACGUGUCUGUUUAUUUAGUUUAUAUCACUAAGCACCUACCCACCUCCCGAACCACUGAUGUCAAGUGCUGACAGAUUCAUCCUCACUUCCUAGUCUGAUCGAGGACUAAAAAUAAAUAAAUAAAUCACUUAAAGCAUGCCAUACUGAAAUCUUCCAAAACCAACAAAUGAAGCAUACUGUACAUUUUAACUGUGCAACUAUUUUUGGUAUCAUCUUUAGAUUUGUGACCCCAUCCACGUUUAUGGUCACGUUUGCACACAUCGAUUAAUUUGAAAUAUUGUAUUAAUUAAAUCUGUAAAUAAAAUAUUUCUCACCUUUUCCCAUCAUAUGAAAAUCUGAAAAAUACAGCGUUUUUGUGGCUGGCAUUUGAGCAGUUAAUUGCAUUGCAAAGUGGCCCACAGGCUUUGUCUUAGCCUUCAGUAUAAUCGAGAACAGCAUGGAGGAGCAAAGGGACUGAACUGUGAUUACGUUCUUAUGGAAUUCCCCAUAUAUAAAACUUUGGAUGUUCCAAAAAGUGUAGGGGGAAACAACUGUAAUGCAAAUUGCGUAGACGUAAGCCGACACGUGUAUGCAUGCGUGUGUGUGUAUAAAGAGAAAGGAGAGUAAGAGGGAGCCACAGUUGCCCUGUGAUCACUUUAACCGGUCACAGGUAAGAUUUCCAUAUUUACUUAUCAUCUCCCGUCUGGCGGCUAACUUUAAAAUGACCUCUCCCGACCCGUGCUUGUUAUCAACCUGUCAUGACUGACUUCCAGAAUCCGCUGAUGACCCUAGCGUGUCAUUAACUUGUCACGCCUUGUGUCCUCGUAAUGACACCACAGUCAUGUGACAAGCUCUUCGUAUCUCAGGUAAGGCAUCUGAUGUGAACAUGCGACAGUCCUGCUG